GACGAACGCUGGCGGCGUGCCUAAUACAUGCAAGUCGAGCGGACGGAUGGGAGCUUGCUCCCAGACCGUCAGCGGCGGACGGGUGAGUAACACGUGGGCAACCUGCCUGUAAGACUGGGAUAACUCCGGGAAACCGGGGCUAAUACCGGAUAACUCUUUCCCUCACAUGAGGGAAAGCGGAAAGAUGGCAUCUCGCUAUCACUUACAGAUGGGCCCGCGGCGCAUUAGCGAGUUGGUGAGGUAACGGCUCACCAAGGCGACGAUGCGUAGCGGCCCUGAGAGGGUGAUCGGCCACACUGGAACUGAGACACGGCCCAGACUCCUACGGGAGGCAGCAGUAGGGAAUCUUCCGCAAUGGACGAAAGUCUGACGGAGCAGCGCCGCGUGAGUGAUGAAGGUUUUCGGAUCGUAAAACUCUGUUGUCAGGGAAGAACAAGUGCCGGAGUAACUGCCGGUACCUUGACGGUACCUGACCAGAAAGCCACGGCUAACUACGUG
rnacentral:rRNA from 1 species